UGAGGAAUAUUGGUCAAUGGGCGAGAGCCUGAACCAGCCAAGUAGCGUGCAGGACGACGGCCCUAUGGGUUGUAAACUGCUUUUAUGUGGGGAUAAAGUGCGUGACGUGUCAUGCAUUGCAGGUACCACAUGAAUAAGGACCGGCUAAUUCCGUGCCAGCAGCCGCGGUAAUACGGAAGGUCCGGGCGUUAUCCGGAUUUAUUGGGUUUAAAGGGAGCGUAGGCUGUCUAUUAAGCGUGUUGUGAAAUUUACCGGCUCAACCGGUGGCUUGCAGCGCGAACUGGUCGACUUGAGUAUGCAGGAAGUAGGCGGAAUUCAUGGUGUAGCGGUGAAAUGCUUAGAUAUCAUGACGAACUCCGAUUGCGCAGGCAGCUUACUGUAGCAUAACUGACGCUGAUGCUCGAAAGUGCGGGUAUCAAACAGGAUUAGAUACCCUGGUAGUCCGCACGGUAAACGAUGGAUGCUCGCUAUUCGUCCGUUUAGGAUGAGUGGCCAAGUGAAAACAUUAAGCAUCCCACCUGGGGAGUACGCCGGCAACGGUGAAACUCAAAGGAAUUGACGGGGGCCCGCACAAGCGGAGGAACAUGUGGUUUAAUUCGAUGAUACGCGAGGAACCUUACCCGGGCUUGAACUGCCAGCGAACGAUACAGAGAUGUUGAGGCCCUUCGGGGCGCUGGUGGAGGUGCUGCAUGGUUGUCGUCAGCUCGUGCCGUGAGGUGUCGGCUUAAGUGCCAUAACGAGCGCAACCCUUUUCUUUAGUUGCCAUCAGGUGAUGCUGGGCACUCUAUGGAUACUGCCACCGUAAGGUGUGAGGAAGGUGGGGAUGACGUCAAAUCAGCACGGCCCUUACGUCCGGGGCUACACACGUGUUACAAUGGGGCAUACAGAGUGUUGGCUUAA
rnacentral:rRNA from 1 species